rnacentral:misc_RNA from 1 species
GAUGAAGAACGUAGCGAAAUGCGAUAGGUAAUGUGAAUUGCAGAAUUCAGUGAAUCAUCGAAUCUUUGAACGCACAUUGCGCCCUUUGGUAUUCCGGAGGGCAUGCCUGUCCGAGCGUCAUUGCUGCCCUCAAGCACGGCUUGUGUGUUGGGCUCCGUCCCCCGAUCCCGGGGGACGGGCCCGAAAGGCAGCGGCGGCACCGCGUCCGGUCCUCGAGCGUAUGGGGCUUUGUCACCCGCUCUGUAGGCCCGGCCGGCGCUUGCCGAUCAACCAAAUUUUUAUCCAGGUUGACCUCGGAUCAGGUAGGGAUACCCGCUGAACUUAAGCAUAUCAAUAAGCGGAGGA